rnacentral:rRNA from 1 species
AGGAGGCACCCCCAUACACAUGCAAGUCGAGCGGAUGAAGGGAGCUUGCUCCUGGAUUCAGCGGCGGACGGGUGAGUAAUGCCUAGGAAUCUGCCUGGUAGUGGGGGAUAACGUCCGGAAACGGGCGCUAAUACCGCAUACGUCCUGAGGGAGAAAGUGGGGGAUCUUCGGACCUCACGCUAUCAGAUGAGCCUAGGUCGGAUUAGCUAGUUGGUGGGGUAAAGGCCUACCAAGGCGACGAUCCGUAACUGGUCUGAGAGGAUGAUCAGUCACACUGGAACUGAGACACGGUCCAGACUCCUACGGGAGGCAGCAGUGGGGAAUAUUGGACAUGGGCGAAUCAUGCUCCGGCAUGCGGC